rnacentral:rRNA from 1 species
AACGAACGCUGGCGGCAUGCCUAACACAUGCAAGUCGAACGAGACCUUCGGGUCUAGUGGCGCACGGGUGCGUAACGCGUGGGAACCUGCCCUUGGGUUCGGAAUAACUCCCCGAAAGGGGUGCUAAUACCGGAUAAUGUCUUCGGACCAAAGAUUUAUCGCCUUUGGAUGGGCCCGCGUUGGAUUAGCUAGUUGGUAGGGUAAAAGCCUACCAAGGCGACGAUCCAUAGCUGGUCUGAGAGGAUGAUCAGCCACACUGGGACUGAGACACGGCCCAGACUCCUACGGGAGGCAGCAGUGGGGAAUAUUGGACAAUGGGCGAAAGACUGAUCCAGCAAUGCCGCGUGAGUGAUGAAGGCCUUAGGGUUGUAAAGCUCUUUUACCCGGGAUGAUAAUGACAGUACCGGGAGAAUAAGCUCCGGCUAACUCCGUG